GAUGAACGCCGGCGGUGUGCCUAAUACAUGCAAGUCGAGCGCACUGGCCCAACUGAUAUGACGUGCUUGCACUGAAUUGACGUUGGAUUACCAGUGAGCGGCGGACGGGUGAGUAACACGUGGGCAACCUGCCCUGGAGCGGGGGAUAACAUCUGGAAACAGGUGCUAAUACCGCAUAACAACGAAAACCACAUGGUUUUCGUUUCAAAGAUGGUUUCGGCUAUCACUUCAGGAUGGGCCCGCGGUGCAUUAGCUAGUUGGUAAGGUAACGGCUUACCAAGGCAAUGAUGCAUAGCCGAGUUGAGAGACUGAUCGGCCACAAUGGAACUGAGACACGGUCCAUACUCCUACGGGAGGCAGCAGUAGGGAAUCUUCCACAAUGGGCGCAAGCCUGAUGGAGCAACACCGCGUGAGUGAAGAAGGGUUUCGGCUCGUAAAGCUCUGUUGUUGGAGAAGAACGUGCGUGAGAGUAACUGUUCACGCAGUGACGGUAUCCAACCAGAAAGUCACGGCUAACUACGUGCCAGCAGCCGCGGUAAUACGUAGGUGGCAAGCGUUAUCCGGAUUUAUUGGGCGUAAAGCGAGCGCAGGCGGUUGCUUAGGUCUGAUGUGAAAGCCUUCGGCUUAACCGAAGAAGGGCAUCGGAAACCGGGCGACUUGAGUGCAGAAGAGGACAGUGGAACUCCAUGUGUAGCGGUGGAAUGCGUAGAUAUAUGGAAGAACACCAGUGGCGAAGGCGGCUGUCUGGUCUGCAACUGACGCUGAGGCUCGAAAGCAUGGGUAGCGAACAGG
rnacentral:rRNA from 1 species